rnacentral:tRNA from 1 species
GCGUGCGGUCGCCGAUGCCGCGCGGCGGCGUGUUGACCGCGCGCUCGAAGGCUGCGUCGUCGUCGCGGUUCGACACCAGGCGCAGAUA